rnacentral:rRNA from 1 species
UAGGGAAUUUUUCGCAAUGGACGAAAGUCUGACGGAGCAAUGCCGCGUGAACGAUGAAGGUCUUCGGAUCGUAAAGUUCUGUUGUAAGGGAAGAACACCAAGGAUAGGAAAUGAUCUUUGGCUGACGGUACCUUGCCAGAAAGGGACGGCUAACUUCGUGCCAGCAGCCGCGGUAAUACGAAGGUCCCAAGCGUUAUCCGGAAUUAUUGGGCGUAAAGCGCAUGUAGGCGGUUUACUAAGUCUGGUGUGAAAGCUCACGGCCUAACCGUGAAAUUGCAUUGGAAACUGGUGAACUAGAAUACUGGAGGGGUAAGUGGAAUUCCAUGUGUAGCGGUGGAAUGCGUAGAUAUAUGGAGGAACACCAAUGGCGAAGGCAGCUUACUGGACAGAGAUUGACGCUGAGAUGCGAAAGCGUGGGGAGCAAACA